rnacentral:misc_RNA from 1 species
GCUCGCGUAGCUUUCCUUAUACUGAUUUCGUUUCUUCCGGAGUUCUAUGAACUUGACGAAUUUUUUUGUGAAUUAUUUUUAUAUUAUUAUUUAACAGAAUAGUAUUAAAAACAACAGGGGACUCUAUUGUUAGGAAGAAGUGCUUUGUGAUAUUGUGAUUCAUUUUAUCGGAGUUGAACCGUCGACGAUUCAUUCAUCCAUUCAUUUUAUUACUCCUUUUUCGGCAAUUGAAAGAGGGAUUCAAUAAAAUACACUAGGAUUAUUAAAUAAUAAGUACGGACCUUCCACAUUGGUCCCUGGAUCAGUGGACACGUGAUUCCAAGAGAUUUUUAUGAGAGCUGAUAACUCAAGGAAAGAAACAUGGAAAGGAGGAGAAGGAUUCCUCGAUAUCGUGGAUUCCAAGUUGUGGUGAUGUUGUACUCAUUCGUUAAUUAACAUCUUCAAAAGGAAAACCAAAGCAACCAAAAAGAGAGAAAGAUCUUAGUCUAGUUUUUUAAAAAUCGCUCAAAAGAAUCUCAACGUAUUUGUAACCCAGUACUUUAUAUAUAAUAGCCGUAUAUUAUGGAUCAUAAAAGUGGAAUGUAUUCAUUUUUGAUACUCUGUUCAAUACUUCCGUCCUCCAUUGGAAUCGUUAUUCCUGAAGGAAAAUUGGUACAAUCCCCUCCGCGUAUGAUCAAGCAACCUCCAACGGAUGAGCUUCUCUUUCAAGUUAAAUCCCGUCAGGACGAGAAUGACAAACCCUUUAUUAUAGAAUGUGAGGCUGAAGGCGAACCAGCUCCAAUGUAUCGAUGGGAGAAGAAUGGAGAACCCUACGAUUGGCAAGUCUAUGACGAACGGAUAUCUCAGCAGCCUGGCCGAGGAACCUUUCUCAUUACAAAACCCCGAGAUGAAGAAAUUGGACAAUAUCAAUGUUUUGCCACAAACGAAUGGGGAACGGCUACUUCCAACUCCGUCUAUGUAAGAAAGUCUGAAUUAAAUAACUUUGUUGAUGAACCACCCAAAACGAAGACUGUUGAAGAGGGAGAACCAUUUGGUAUUCCCUGUAAUUCCCCUACUGGAUGGCCCAAACCCUCUGUCUAUUGGCUCAAAAUGAGUCAAAAUUGGCAUAAAACACUUAAUUCCUCUAGAAUCACAGUUGAUCCCGAAGGAACUCUUUGGUUCUCAAAUAUCACAAAGGAAGACAGUUCCGAAGACUUUUUAUAUGCUUGUUCUGCCUCUUCAUACUUCCGCAAUGAGUACAAAGUUGGAAAUAAAGUUCAUCUCCAAGUCAUUCAAUCUGGAUCCAAUGCUGGACUUCAAAACAAAAGGGAACCUGUUUUUCAAUAUGCAAAUAAACGAUCCGAAAUAGCUCUUCGUGGAAAAGAAAUGAAAUUAUGGUGUAUUUUUGGUGGAACUCCUCUCCCUGAAAUCCGGUGGAGAAAGCAAGGAGGUCCACUCCCUCCUGGCCGAACCACACUUGAUAAUUAUGGAAAAACAUUAGUUAUUAAACAUGUUGAUUUUGAAGACGCAGGGGAUUACACAUGUGAGGCUAGCAAUGGUGUUGGAAUUGCAAAGUCUUACAGUAUUUCGAUCGAAGUACAUGCUCGACCAAGAUUCAUUGUCGAACCCGAAAUCAUGAUUACGACUGAAGGAGAGAGCGUGGAUUUCUUGUGUCAAGCUGAUGGUUAUCCUACUCCGUCGAUCCAGUGGAUUUACAAUGGUGCCAAAAUUGAAAAAGCUCCUCCUCAUCCCAACCGUUUUAUCACACCAGAUAGAAUUACUAUUACAAAUGUUUCUAAAUCUGAUACGGGUAACUAUGGUUGUAACGCCUCUAACGUGAACGGUUAUGUUUACAAAGACGUUUACGUAAAUGUUUUGGAUCUUCCACCUGAAAUUACAGUUCCUCCAGAAGAAACAGCACAAACUGUUGAUGGUAAGGCCAUGACUAUGAAAUGUGAAACAUUUGGUGCUCCUAAGCCCAUUGUUAAAUGGUUUCAUAAUAAUGAAGAACUUACUGGUGGAAGAUAUAAGGUUCAAGACUCUGGGGAUUUGCUUAUUCAGGAUGUCAAAUUUUUUGAUGCCGGAAAUUACACGUGUAAAGCUGAAAAUAAAUUUGGGAAAGCCAGUGCAAGUGGUACUUUAACGGUUAAAGAACACACUAGGAUAUCAACUGGUCCUAAAGACUAUGAAGUAGAAGCUGGUGAUUCGGCUACUUUUCGAUGUAAUGCAGUAUAUGACUCAGAGUUAGAACUUGACAUUCAUUGGCUAAAAAAUGGUAAACUGAUUGAUUUCGAUAUUGAGCCUCGGUUUAUUCAGUCCUCUGAUCAGUCUUUGACAAUCACCAAGACAACAGAAUUGGAUUCAGGUCAAUAUACUUGCUUAGCUAAGUCAUCAUUGGACUCAGCUCAAGCAAGUGCAUCACUGAUUGUUCAAGAUGUUCCCAAUCCUCCCUCCUUACUUUGGGUUAAUUGUAAUUCUGAAGAUGCGGUUGUGACUUGGGCGCCUAUGGGUGACAAUAGAGCUCCCAUCUUGAAUUAUAAAAUGUUGUAUAAUACAUCAUUUACUCCUGAUACCUGGGAGGUUGCAACGGAUACAGUUCCUGCUAGUGAUACGUCCUUUAAAGUAUCAAUGUCACCUUGGACCAAUUAUACUUUCAAAGUUAUUGCUCGAAAUCAAGUAGGAGAUUCUUUCCCUUCGGGACAUUCAGAGACUUGUCUCACUCCAGAGAGAAUUCCAUUUAAAAAUCCAGAUAAUGUUGAAGGAAGAGGGACAUCCCCUAACAAUUUGGUUAUUUAUUGGACGCCCAUGCCGCAAAUAGAACACAAUGCUCCAAAGUUUCAGUAUCGAGUAUAUUGGAAAAAAGAUGAAGAGGAUGCUUCUUGGAUUAUUGAAGAUAUUGCUGAUUGGAGAGUCAAGGAACUUGUUAUUGAUAACCAACCCACAUAUUCUAGAUAUCAAAUUAAAGUAGUGGCUCAUAAUCGUAUAGGAGAAGCUAAGAUGAAAGCAAAGCCAGUUAUUGGAUGGUCGGGAGAAAAUCAGCCUUCAGAAGCUCCUCUAAAUUUUACUCUUCUAGAUGUUGUCGGCCCUCGUUCUGCCUAUGUUUCUUGGGAUCCUGUUAGUUUAGAUUCAAUUAAUGGGGACUUUAAAGGUUACAAAAUACAAACAUGGACCAACUCCUCGGGUGAAGAGAAAUUCAGAGAAAUUCCAUGGGGCAAGGAUACGACAGAAGCCUUUGUUCAGUCAUUUAAACCAUUUUCAUUAAAUUAUGCUCGUGUUUUGGCAUUUAAUGGUGCAUACAAUGGUCCACCAUCUAAUAUUAUUGAGGUUCGCACUGGAGAAGGUCUUCCAGGUCCUGUAGAUAUGCUUGAAUGCUUCCCUAUGGGUUCAUCUGCUCUUCUACUUGCAUGGAACAAGCCAGAGGAAGUUAAUGGUAUUCUCAGAGGGUAUCGUAUUUACUAUAAGGAAGUCAACAAGACGCAUUUUGGUCCAGAAAUAGAACGAUAUCCAAAAAUUAGGAACCCAAGUGCCGAUAAAGCUAAGCUCGCAGGAUUGAAACCUCAUCAAAAGUAUCGAGUAAUCAUAAGAGCUGAAACCCGUGUUGGACAAGGAAUGCGAUUUUAUACCGAAUGUAACACAAACCCUCAAGCUCUGACUCCACCCUCUAGACCAAGAUUUACUUAUUCUCUUAUGAAUCCUGAGAACGGACAGUCCAGAGUUAAAGUAACGUGGAAGCCCCGUGUAGAGGGUAAUCCAGGAUCUCAUUUCUAUGUUCAGUAUAAGAAAAGUAUGGAUACCACGUACCUGGCUUCAGAUGAAGAGCUUAAUGAGGACUCUGUCGUUAUUCGUGGACUUGAUCCAGGAUAUACUUAUGACUUCCGUGUUGUCGCUGUAGAUGGCGUUCAUGAAACGCCGAGCGACCCUCUUCCAGUAUAUACUUAUGCCUCCCUACCUAUUGUGGGUGCAGCAGACUCUCAAUCCUAUUUGGCUCAUUCCGGCUGGUUCAUCGGAAUGUUGCUAGCAAUAAUUUUCCUCAUAUUUUUAUGCAUUAUUGUGGCCAUUAUUAAAAGAAAUCGUGGAGGGAAAUAUGCAGUUUCUGAGCAUGAAGCAGCUCAUGGAAGAAAGGAUUACGAUGAUGCUGGUUUUCCAGAGUAUACUCAACCGUUAGACGAUCGGAAUACUCGUCCUCCGCGCUCUACAGAGUUUAAACCGCCGAUGGAGUCUGACAAUGAUAGCAUUGCAGAUUAUGCAGAUGGUGAGAAUACAGCGGGUAUGGCGGAAGAUGGAUCCUUCAUUGGGAAAUACCGUAGAGAACGCAAUUCUGAGCAAUCCUCCACAUUUGCCACGCUAGUUUAAAUUAUUAUUUUGAGUUUGAUUCAUAGUACAUAGUUGCAUCCUAUUUUUAUGCAUAUAAACCUAAACCUGUGACCCCAUGCUCGUUUCAUGUUGACGAGUUUUCAUUUUGUUAUCUUCAGCAUUUUCCAUUUGACGAAGAUGGUUCCUUUAUAGGGCAAUAUGGCUCAAUUAAACGGAAAUAUAGAAAGCCUUCCUCCUAUAAAGAUCCCUCAAAUUUUGUCACAUCUCUCACUAAGACUCAAUCAAACCAGGGAACAUUUGUAUAAAGAGAUAAUUUUCCUUUUGCUAUUUUGCUCAUUAGUGCUGCCAUUUUUUUAUUUUUUUCCCCCUGUUUUAUCCAAAAAAAAAAAAACCCUGAAAGAACUAAAACAAAGUUUAUUUAGCUACUACUCAAUAUACAAGUUAUAACAGACUUGAAUGGAAUGAUUGAUGUGUGAAAAA